AUGAAGUCUACAAUGGUUGGAGCGGAGAGGUAUGGAGAGUUAAGCGGAGGUAUGAUGCGGAUGAGAAUGGCCGCCGAUGUGUUGGUGAAGAAGAGUCGCACCAUGAGAGAAGAACGAAGAAGAGGAGUGAUAUCGGAUGGAGACGAAAUUGGGAUAAUAUCAAAGGUGAAGGGUUUGGUUUGUGACGGAGAUCGCCGUCGUGCCUGGUUUCCGUGA